UUCCGUAGGGGGCCUUGCGGAAGGAUCAUUAU
rnacentral:rRNA from 1 species